CACCAGGAAGCUAAAUUGGGCAUAGCGUUAGCCUUUUAAGCUAAAGAAUGGUGACCCCCAAUCACCCCUAGUGA
rnacentral:tRNA from 1 species